CUCACACCCAUGUGUGUAGGAUUCCAAAAGAUCACCAUUAAAUUUGACACAGAUUUUUAGAAAUGUUAUCACAUGGGUGUGGAACUUAACUUUUCUAUAGAUCUGUGCCAAAUUUAAUGAUGAUCCUUUGGAGUCCUACACACAUGGGUGUGGG
rfam:Amborella trichopoda AMTR_V1.0_contig_33009, whole genome shotgun sequence.